rnacentral:rRNA from 1 species
GAUACCCUAUUAUUUUGAAUGUAAAAUGCUUAUCUUUAAUUAUUAUUAGUUAUGGCCUUUAAAGUUAAAAGAUUUGGCGGUAUUUUAGUCUGUUCAGAGGAACCUGUUUUUUAAUCGAUAGUCCACGAUUACUCUUACUUUGAUUACUAAAUUUAUAUAUCGUUGUUUAUAAAGAUUUUAGCAGGACUAUAAUUUUUAAGGUGCGUGAUUACGUCUUAUUUCAGAUCAAGGUGUAGUUUAUAUCAGAGUUAAAAUGGGUUACAUUAUUUUUAUGUGUGGUUUCUUGGUUUAAAAUUGGGGGUAAAGAGGAUUUGAUAGUAAUUAUUGAAUAUUUGUUUGGUGAUUUAGCUCUAAAAUAUGCACACAUCGCC